rnacentral:rRNA from 1 species
UACAGAGGUCUCAAGCGUUGUUCGGAUUCAUUGGGCGUAAAGGGUGCGUAGGCGGCGCGGUAAGUCGGGUGUGAAAUCUCGGAGCUUAACUCCGAAACUGCAUUCGAUACUGCCGUGCUUGAGGACUGGAGAGGAGACUGGAAUUUACGGUGUAGCGGUGAAAUGCGCAGAUAUCAGGAGGAACACCGGUGGCGAAGGCGGGUCUCUGGGCCGAUACUGACGCUGAGGCGCGAAAGCGUGGGGAGCGAACAGG